CCUACGGGGGGCAGCAGUGGGGAAUAUUGCUCAAUGGGGGAAACGCUGAUGCAGCGACGUCGCGUGAGUGAAGACGUCAUUAGUUAUGUAAAGCCCUAUCAGCAGGGAAGAAAAUGACGGUACCUGAGUAAGAAGCCCCGGCUAACCACGUGCCAGCAGCCGCGGCACUACGUAGGGGGCAAGCGUUAUCCGGAUUUACUGGGUGUAAAGGGAGCGUAGGCGGCAGUGCAAGUCUGGAGUGAAAGGCGGGGGCUCAACCCCCGGACUGCUCUGGAAACUGUACGGCUGGAGUGCAGGAGAGGUAAGUGGAAUUCGUAGUGUAGCGGUGAAAUGCGUAGAUAUCAGGAAGAACACCAGUGGCGAAGGCAGCUUACUGGACUGUAACUGACGUUGAGGCACGAAAGCGUGGGGAGCAAACAGGAUUAGAUACCCGAGUAGUC
rnacentral:rRNA from 1 species